UUUACACUACACGUUGAGCAAACGCGUUAAGAUUCGAGAUCUGGUCUAGGGUUCCUCAAUUUCAAAUUUAUAUUCAAACAAGUUAAAGAAAUUAUUUCCACUUCUUUAAUUGGUUUUCUUUACGUAAUAGAGAUACUUUGUGUUAGGUGGGGUUUGGCAGAAGGGUUCUUUAGAAAUUGAUUGAGGUUUUGAUUGAAGGAUUGCUGGAAAAGUUGAAAAUAUUGGAGAAGAUUUGGGGAAAAAGUAAAACAAAUGCCGGAAGAAGACUUGGUGGAGCUCAAGUUCAGAUUGUAUGAU
rnacentral:lncRNA from 1 species